AAACACUUUAAGAAAUGCUGCACUAGUCUAAUGGAACGUCUCAUACCAGCCAGAACUUGCUGUGUAUCGACAUGUACUGCUGUUGUCAUAUGGUACCAGUAGCUAACACUUUUGGCUGUCUCUGUCUUAUUUCCUCGGCUUUUGUAUGCUAGCAUGUGCCCAGCCUGUUUUAAGUCAGCUUCAUAUCACUGCUAAUCAUCGGGAAAGGGGUUUUGAGCCCCAUUUACCUAAAUAGCCCUUCUGUACCGUCUGUCUGUCUGCAACCGUCCAAAUUGGAAUUAAUAUUCGCCUGGCGAAGAACCCUGUCGGCUGGCUCGCACGCAAACGGACACACUCUGAUUGUCGGUAUUCCUACUCAUGCUACAAACAGCCUCCGACUGACCUAAUUACGGCGGCCAGCCGUAGAUGCGAUGCCCAGCUGGUGGGGCUGGAAGUGGCUAG
ensembl:lncRNA